GGUGGGUUUUGCCGCGUUUUUUUCUAUGGCUGGAGUGAUUGUGGAGGAGUAGGACUGAAAUCAAUAACUGUCUAAGUCUGCCCUUUUCCAAAGACUUCCAUGGCAGUGUUGUGUACUGUCCCUCUGAUGUGAUUUCAUCGCUCUUUGGCUGUGUCAUCAGGAGGUUCUAUGCGUAAAGCUCUUAACGGGCUAGGGUAUAAUGCACCACCUAGGGAAGGCGGUCAUGCUCACAUCAACACGAAGUACUCACUCAGCCCUAGAGCGAUGAACCUUCUUGGGCUGAAGCAGCAUCUUGCAACAAAUCAGGGAGUGAUUGUUGUCGCAGUCAGCACUGCAAAAGGUGUGGCAAAGGAGGAUACAUUUCAAUGCAGAUCGGUAAUGAUCAGGUCGGGCUGAAGCCAUGGUUUGGAUCGAGGUUUUCUCAAAGAUACUUUAUGCCGUGGUUUGGUCUGAAAGAAGGAGUUGGUGAUAUUGAGGCCAUGGUAUGAGCAUAACUCCAGAAGGCGCUGGCCAUUUUCAUUCAUCUUUCCAAAUGCGAAUUUUCCAAGACAUGUGGACCACGAGUUGUGGUCGGCGCCAAUUCUGGCAUUGAAGUCACCCAGCAGUACCAGGUGCUCUUCUUUGGGAAUCCUGUUGAUAAGCGAGUCUUGCUGGCUGUAGAACUCGUCCUUUGAAUCCUUGGUGGAACUGAGUGAUGUUGAAUAACCACUGAUCAGGUUGGCUGGUCCAGAGGUGAUGUGGAGGCGGAGUGAUAACAUUCUUAUUGUUCCUUGGUGGCAUCAUCCCCAGCAGAGGACUUCGGACAGGAAAACCAAAAGACAUACGCUCUGUUGUCCUCAGCACUCUUUCCUUGCCAAAAGAAGGAAACGUAUUUUCCUCUAAGGGUUCCAUAAUUAACAAGCUGUAGUUUGUACAUGUUUCUUUGUCUUGCAUUAUGUUUGUUUUAAACAUCAACGCAGUUUUGUGUGUCUUUAACAGUGAUUCUGGAAGAAAAGUAUUAGCUUUAUGCUGGUUGUCCGACUGUCAUAUACAUUUUCAAACAAGUGCAAAUACAUGUUUUGUUUCACAAGCAAAUCAUUUACUGAUAAUAAAAACUACCUGGACAUGCUUAUGAUUAUUAACGUAGAUGGAUAGGAGUUUAUUAGGUAAAUAUGAUGGAGUAAUGAAUAUACACGUUUAAACUCCUUUUAAGUCGAUAUUUAUUUCACUGAUAGCGAAUUCAGAAAAAAACAACUGAUAACGAAUGAUCAAUAUUUGUAAGUUUUAUGGCUUCAUAGAUCAAUUUCUUUCUCGACAUAUUUAAUAGCACCUCAAUGGUAUGAUUCAUUUAUCCACUUAUAAGAAAUGCUCACGUCCAAAUGAGUGGACUUGUCUUACAGGAGCAACAGUAUCUCACAUUAGAGACUGCAGUAAUGACGCAAAUUUUUCCUUCUCGUCGAAUCUACAGAAUAUAAGGGGUGCAUACUAUCGUCUCUACAACCUUGACCCCACCAAGAACGAGACGGCAUGUGAAUGGGACGGUCAACACCUCGUAUGCCUCACGAAAUGUGUCAGUGACUUUUGUAACGGCCCGAUUCUGGCUGAAGUUAACAAAGCUUGUGCUGCGCAGGCGAUAACAAUGAUCACACUUAUGUCUUUUAUUUGCUUUGCAUUUUCGUGGUGUUAGCUUGAUUCGUUUUUCAUUGCGUUGUAAAAAGUAUACGUGGCUAAAAUAUCACUGCGAAUAAUCAAAUAGUAUCAAACGAAAAAAAAUCUCAAAUUGAUUCAUCGGCUAAUAGUAUUUUUAACAAAUUGGUUAUUUGCACAUUUAUUUAACAUGCUUAGGGCACGUGAAAUUAAUAAGUAAUACAGAUUUUCGUCGGAUAUGCAGCAAAUGGAAAUCGUAAACUGAAAUUACACUAUUUGUAUUGAAAUAGCGCCCCCAGUGUCCACUGUGCCAUCCACCCUUUUUUUCGUCGAAGAGUAGUUGUUAUAUUAUGACGCAGAUUGUCUUUGUGAAACAGGUUUAUAGUACGAUGAGAAUAUUAUUUUUUUUAAUGAUCGACCUGUCAUUAUUGCCUUUUUAUUAAAUUAAUCUGUAUUUUGUUGAUUCAUUUGCUAAGCGGCCUAUGCUUCUGACUAUGAAAUGGCGCCAAAAUGAUUUCCGAGUAUGAACAAAUAGGCAAUAAGAUUGGUGGUAUUGAGCAAAAAGCGAAUUACUUAGUUCAAAUAUUACUUAUCCUUUAAACUUCUCUUCUUUUUUAAUGCAUAUGAGUGAAAUUAGCGAAAUGUUUUCUACAUGUAUUGUUUUGCUAUCUGAUUUAAAUGUAAUGCUAUGAUGUUAAUGUUUCCUAGCAAUAUAAUGUUUUGCGAAUUACUCGGGGACAAUUCUGAGGUUAUGAGCUCCAUUGAACCGGUUGAAAACCUCUAUGCUUUGCUAUGACGGUUCAAAGGCGUUGACGUUAGUUUUAUUCAUGUAUGUGUCUCGUUUCGUGAGUGUGUGUGUGUGUGCGUGUUUGAUGCUUUUGUUCUUCUGUAGACUGUUUGCCAUUCGGCCACUUAAUACAGGAUUUCCGAUGUGUCUUAAGCUCUCUGGAGCCGAUGUUUCAGUUUGUUUAUAUUUGAUUGCGUACCUGUUAAAAGCUAAACAAAUAAAAGUUCGUGUUGUGUG